CUCUUUCUGUCUCUCGCUAGGUCACUAUGAAGGAUACCAGUGUUCUGUGUCCCUCCCCUCUCUUUCUGUCUCUCGCUAGGUCACUAUGAAGGAUACCAGUGUUCUGUGUCCCUCCCCUCUCUUUCUGUCUCUCGCUAGGUCACUAUGAAGGAUGCCAGUGUUCUGUGUCCCUCCCCUCUCUUUCUGUCUCUCGCUAGGUCACUAUGAAGGAUACCAGUGUUCUGUGUCCCUCCCCUCUCUUUCUGUCUCUCGCUAGGUCACUAUGAAGGAUACCAGUGUUCUGUGUCCCUCCCCUCUCUUUCUGUCUCUCGCUAGGUCACUAUGAAGGAUACCAGUGUUCUGUGUCCCUCCCCUCUCUUUCUGUCUCUCGCUAGGUCACUAUGAAGGAUACCAGUGUUCUGUGUCCCUCCCCUCUCUUUCUGUCUCUCGCUAGGUCACUAUGAAGGAUACCAGUGUUCUGUGUCCUCUCUCUUUCUGUCUCUCGC